UGAAUGUGCAACUAACAACGGAGGUUGUGGACAAGUGUGUACUAAUACUGUUGGAAGCUAUACUUGCUCUUGUCAUACUGGUUAUACAUUAAACAGCAAUCAGAAAAGCUGUACUGAUACUGUUGAAUGUAAUUCCAACAAUGGAGGCUGUGAAGAUAACUGUGUGAAUACAGCUGGCAGUUAUUACUGUACGUGUAAUGCUGGUUUUAGUCUCAACAGUGACCAACGAAAUUGUGACAAUAUCAAUGAGUGUAAUCAAGGUAAUGGUGGAUGUGAACACACUUGCACUGACACUGUUGGAAGCUUCAGUUGUUCUUGUAAUUCUGGAUACCAGCUAACAGCAGGAGGACAUUGUUCAGAUAAGAAUGAGUGUAAUUCUAACAAUGGAGGGUGUGAUCAUACUUGUGUGAAUACAGUUGGUAGUUAUGUUUGUCA